UGGGGAAUAUUGGACAAUGGGCGCAAGCCUGAUCCAGCAAUGCCGCGUGAGUGAGGAAGGCCUUAGGGUUGUAAAGCUCUUUCACCCACGACGAUGAUGACGGUAGUGGGAGAAGAAGCCCCGGCUAACUUCGUGCCAGCAGCCGCGGUAAUACGAAGGGGGCGAGCGUUGUUCGGAUUUACUGGGCGUAAAGGGCGCGCAGGCGGCUCUGCAAGUCAGAUGUGAAAGCCCCGGGCUUAACCUGGGAACUGCAUUUGGGACUGUGGGGCUAGAGAUCGGGAGAGGAGAGUGGAAUUCCCAGUGUAGAGGUGAAAUUCGUAGAUAUUGGGAAGAACACCGGUGGCGAAGGCGGCUCUCUGGACCGAUACUGACGCUGAGGCGCGAAAGCGUGGGGAGCAAACAGGAUUAGAUACCCUGGUAGUCCACGCUGUAAACGAUGUGUGCUAGACGUUGGGGAGCCUAGCUCUUCGGUGUCGCAGCUAACGCGGUAAGCACACCGCCUGGGGA
rnacentral:rRNA from 1 species